rnacentral:rRNA from 1 species
GAUCCUGGCUCAGGAUGAACGCUGGCGGCGUGCUUAACACAUGCAAGUCGAACGGAACUCUUUUGAUUGAGGCUUCGGCCAAAUGAUUCUGAGUUUAGUGGCGGACGGGUGAGUAACGCGUGAGUAACCUGCCUUGAAGUGGGGAAUAACGGCUGGAAACGGUCGCUAAUACCGCAUAAAGCAUUGAGAUCGCAUGGUUUUAAUGCCAAAGAUUUAUCGCUCUGAGAUGGACUCGCGU